rnacentral:rRNA from 1 species
UACGGACGGGGCAAGCGUUGUUCGGAAUCAUUGGGCGUAAAGGGCGCGUAGGUGGUUCUGUAUGUCUACCGUGAAAGCGUACGGCUCAACCGUAUUUUGUCGGUAGAAACUGCAGGACUUGAGGCUGGGAGGGGCUGGUGGAAUUCCCUGUGUAGCGGUGAAAUGCGCAGAUAUCAGGAGGAACACCAGUGGCGAAGGCGCCACUCUGGGCCGUAACUGACGCUGAGGAGCGAAAGCGUGGGUAGCAAACAGG